rnacentral:rRNA from 1 species
AUUGAACGCUGGCGGCAGGCCUAACACAUGCAAGUCGGACGGUAGCACAGAGGAGCUUGCUCCUCGGGUGACGAGUGGCGGACGGGUGAGUAAUGUCUGGGGAUCUGCCCGAUAGAGGGGGAUAACCACUGGAAACGGUGGCUAAUACCGCAUAACGUCGCAAGACCAAAGAGGGGGACCUUCGGGCCUCUCACUAUCGGAUGAACCCAGAUGGGAUUAGCCAGUAGGCGGGGUAACGGCCCACCUAGGCGACGAUCCCUAGCUGGUCUGAGAGGAUGACCAGCCACACUGGAACUGAGACACGGUCCAGACUCCUACGGGAGGCAGCAGUGGGGAAUAUUGCACAAUGGGCGCAAGCCUGAUGCAGCCAUGCCGCGUGUAUGAAGAAGGCCUUCGGGUUGUAAAGUACUUUCAGCGGGGAGGAAGGCAGUGAGGUUAAUAACCUUACUGAUUGACGUUACCCGCAGAAGAAGCACCGGCUAACUCCGUGCCAGCCGCCGCAGUAA